rnacentral:rRNA from 1 species
UACGGAGGAUGCAAGCGUUAUCCGGAAUGAUUGGGCGUAAAGCGUCCGCAGGUGGCUGUGUAAGUCUGCUGUUAAAGAGUCUAGCUCAACUAGAUACAAGCGGUGGAAACUACACGGCUAGAGUACGUUCGGGGCAGAGGGAAUUCCUGGUGUAGCGGUGAAAUGCGUAGAGAUCAGGAAGAACACCGGUGGCGAAGGCGCUCUGCUAGGCCGUAACUGACACUGAGGGACGAAAGCUAGGGGAGCGAACAGG